rnacentral:rRNA from 1 species
GAAAUUUACAGAUAAAGAGUCGUGCCUGCCCAGUGAAUUUUUUUAACGGCCGCAGUACCCUGACUGUGCUAAGGUAGCAUAAUCACUUGUUUUUUAAUUGAAAGCUUGUAUGAAUGGCUUGACGCAGGUAAAGCUGUCUCUUUUAUAUUAAAUAAAAAUUAAUUUUUAAGUGCAGAAGCUUAAAUGAAACCAAAAGACGAAAAGACCCUAUCGAGCUUGAAAAUUAUAAUUAAAUUAAAUUUAUAGUAAAAUAAUUUUUAAUUAAUUUUUUUUGUUGGGGCGACAAAAGAACAAAUAAAGCUUCUUUUCAUUUUAUAAAUUUAUAAAUUUAUAGAUCCAUAAAUUAUGAUUAAAAGAAAAAGCUACCGUAGGGAUAACAGCGUUAUUUUUUCAAAGAGUUCUUAUCGAAGAAAAAGUUUGCGACCUCGAUGUUGGAUUAAAGUAACUUUUAAGUGCAGAAGCUUAAAUAGUGGGUCUGUUCGACCCUUAAACCUUU